ACUUUUCUAGUAUAACACAGUAUGAGUGACUUCCACUCACUCGGCCUUAAUCAAAUUAAGGAAAAGUA
rnacentral:tRNA from 1 species